rnacentral:lncRNA from 1 species
UAUCUUUUUUUUCCCCCUGCUUUUUAGGGCUGCACCAGCGGCAUAUGGAGGUUCCCAGAAAAGGCAAAAAAAUAAAAAUUAAAAAAAAUAAAAGGAGUUCCUGUUGUGGCGCAGUGGUUAACGAAUCCGACUAGGAACCAUGAGGUUUCAGGUUCGGUCCCUGGCCUUGCUCAGUGGGUUGAGGAUCCAGCGUUGCCGUGAGCUGUGGUGUAGGUUGCAGACAUGUCUCAGAUCCUGCGUUGCUGUGGCUCUGGCGCACGGCGGCAGCUACAGCUCCGAUUCAACCCCUAGUCUGGGAACCUCCAUAUGCCGCGGGAGCAGCCCUAGAAAUGGCAAAAAGAUUUAAAAAUAAAUAAAUAAAUAAAAGUUGCAGAAGAAUAUAUACCUAUGCUGUACUAAUAUCUGCUGUUAAAACAUGAAACUAUAACUAUGUAUUAAAUAAAUAGAAAUAUGUACAGUAAUGAUAAAUAUAAAAAUCAGACCUGUUAUUAGAGAGGAAUGAAAUAUAAUGAGAGGAAUGAAAUACAAAUGGUUUCAAAAGUAGCUGAAAAGUCUUAUUGCUGAAAACAAAAUAUGAGGAGAAUAUGGCAACUUAUUAAGAGCCAAUAAAGUUGGUAGUUGGUAUAAAGGUUAUCUCCUGUUCCAAAAAAUAAAAUUUCUGAGAGCUCACUAGUGAAAGAUGGAAAACACAAAAGAAAAAUACUUCAAGAUAAAUAUUUUAAAGCAUAUUUAUUUAUUUAUUUAUUUAUUUAUUUGUCUUUCUGUCUUUUCAGGGCUGCGCCCACAGCAUAGGGAAGUUCUCAGGUAAAGGGUCGAAUCAGAGCCAUAGCUGCCAGCCUACACCAUAGCCGCUGAACGCCAGAUCCGAGCAGCAUCUGCGACCUAGAGCACAGCUCAAGGCAAUGCCAAAUCCUUAAACCACUGAGUGAGGCCAGGGAUCGAACCUGAAACCUCAAGGUUCCUGGUUGGAUUCGUUUCCACUGAGCCACGAUGGGAACUCCUAAAGCAUAUUUUUAAGUGAUAAAUUAUCAAGUGUGUCUUUAAGGCUAUGAUGAAACAAAAAAUCAGGGAAUUCACUCAAUUUAUGUAACAAAAAGAUUUACAUUUCAUUUAGCAGAUACACACCAAACUAUAAGAGGAUAAAUACAAGUACAAAGAGUAAUAUUUACGUUAGAAUAUUCUGUUUACAAAAUUUUAUUUAACUGAAACAAAAUGUGUAUUAGCCUUAGAACUACUAAUUACUAGUUAUAGAAUUAUAACAAAGUUACUGAAAACAACUGAAAAAAUAUAAAACCAUUAGUCUUAAAAAUUAUAAGCAAAUUCCACAACUUCAUCAAAAUCAUCUAAAAAGCUUAUCUGAGAAAAGAGAAUUCUAGUAAAAAUAAAUAAAAUAAAUAGAAUUCUACUAAACACACGAUUUCAAUCUAUUUUCAGAUUUUAAUCUAGCAUUAAAAUCAAGUUAAGAACAUGAGAAAAAUAACAUUCCGCAACUGGGUAGGGAAAGAAGGAAAUUAAAGGUCAGAGGACCUAGAUUCAAAUCUGAUUCAAUUACCCUGGGCUACUGCAAUGUCUCUGAGGCACUUAACAGCAGCCUGCCUCAUGGGACUGGUGACUGAUAAUUUUUUAAACCAAAGGUAAACUUACUUUUAAAGCUAGAAAGAUGAAAAUGCUAUUGUAGGCCAAACAUCUCACGAAUAUUUGAGAAUAAAAAAGUAAACUGCAAGGUUUGGUGUCUAUAUUUUUAAGAAGUCAGAAAGCAAAGGCAAGACUUAAUAAUAAAAAAAUUUCACAACUAGAAAAUCCAAGAGAAGAGCUGAAAGACGGUGUAGGAUUUCUCCAUGGAGGUAGAACACAAAGACAAAAAAAGAUAAUUUGGCUGGGGGGGAGGUGGCGGAGGGGAGGAUUAAGAGAACUGAUGCAGGCAGUCCAAAGGCUGGCUACUAGGAGUUUCAAUGAGAAGAAACAGACUGACAGGACAUACAAUAGGCCUGUCCAAUGAUUAUACACACAACUGGCAAGACCUCACAUUUUACCACAAGCACACAACUUACUUCAAGGAUGUUGGUACAAAAUGCCUUUAACCGACCAAUCGAAAGGAAAGAGAGGGAACAGGAACACAAUCAGGGGCAUCACAGUGAUACAAACAGCAAAAUGCAGGUUCUAGAAACAUAUAAGACACUCUAUCUGGUCUUUAAAUAAUAAAGUAUACAGGAAAAAAGAAGAGGUAACCAAAAGAGACUUGAGAGAGGAGUUCUCUUGCGGUGCAGCGGGUUAGGAUCUGGUGUUGUUACUGCUGUGGGUGCAGGUUUGACCCCUGACCUGGGAACUUCCACAUGCUGUAGGUGCAGCCAAAAUAAAUAAAUAAUUUUAAAAAAUUAUUUUAAAUAGAGACUUGAGAGAGAUCUCUGCUAGUUGCAAUGUAUGCACCUUAUUUGCUUCCUAAUACAAACACUAUCAAAAAAGGAAAAUAUAUGACAUAAAUAGGAAAAUUUACAUACUAACUGUAUAUUUCAUGUUAUCAAGGAAUCACUGUUAAUACUUGGUGGGGGGUUGGUAUUGCGGUUUUUCUUUCUUUUUUUGUUCUCUGAGUCCUAUCUUUCAGGGACAGAUAUUGUAAUAUUUACAAAUGGUAUGUCUUUGGGGUUGGGGAAAUCUGCUUAUUUUUUUAAUUUAUUGAAGUAGAGCUGAUUUACAAUAUUCUGUUAAUUUCUGCUGUACAGCAAAGUGAUUCAGCUAUACUUACACACACAUAUAUAUAUUCUUUUCCAUUACGGUUUACCACAGGAUAUCGAAUAUGGUCCCCUGUAUUAUACAGUAGGACCUUGUUGUUUAUCCAUUCUAUAUAUAAUCGUUUGCAUCUGCUAAUGCCAAACUCCCAGUCCAUCCCUCCACUACCUUCCCUCCGCCUUGGCAACUGUAAAUCUGUUCUCUACGUCUGUGAGUCUGUUUCUGUUUUGUAGAUAAGUUCAUUUGUGCCAUGUUUUAGCGAAUCUGCUUCUAAUCACACUCACACUCUACAAAUUGCAUGGGUUUCUCUAUACGGCCACUCCUGUCAUGUCAGCUGGUUUACCCCAGAGUCAAUGAUUCAAGUGAGAAUAAAAGACCAAAUUGGAAACCACAGUGUACUUUAUAGCCUACUCCUAAAAGCAACACCACAUCACUUGUACUGUGUUCUGAUAGUCAUACAGACCAGCCCUAGUACAACACAGGAAGGAUCAUACAGAAGAGUGUAAAUAGGAGAUGGAGACUGUUGCCGGACAUCUUAGAGGAUAUAAAUGAGGCUACAAAACUGAACAUUUAGGAAUUGUUGGAGCAAGGUGACGAAUAUGUUGGCGUUCAUUCCAUUAUCUCUAUUUUUGUACAUACUUGAAGUUUUCCAUUAUAAAAAUUUUUUCAAAACUAAAAAAAAAAAAAAAAAAAAGGCUAAAAGCAUAGAGAUGGAAGAGUUCCCUUGUGGUGCAGUGGGUUAAGGAUCUGGCAUUGUCACUGCAGUGGCUUGGUCACUGUUGUAGCUUAGGUUUGAUCCCUGGCCCAAACACUUCCAUAUGCCGCAAGUGUGGCCAAAAAAGAAAAAAAAAAAGGCACAGAAAUGGAGCAAGUAAAAUUUUUUUCAGUUCUGAAGUUUUCUCAUCAAGCCCCAAAUCUGGUGCACAAGCAUAUGUAUCAUACCAUUUAAACACUGAUCUUCAUAACAUGAAGUUGUUCACUGUGCAAAAACUAGUUACUUAAAGGCUACUCAUUAAUAAAAGCAUCUUCAAGAACUAUGUAAAAGACUAGAAACAAAAUAAACACACAAUAAAAUAUGCUGAGCAAUGAUACAUUCAGGGGAAUUAUUAAAAGUAAAAAAAAAAAA